AGUCCUUAAAGAAAGGGUUUCUUCUUCAGGAAUUUAAGAGCAGGUCACCCAGAACUGUGUCCAGUUGGGUUCUGAGGCUCUCCGAGGAUGGAGACUCCACAAUUUGCUCCAGUGUUCAACCACCCUUACAGCUGAACAGUCCCACCUCUCCACCUCUCCUUGUGUGAUGGAUGCUCCAGUCCCUUCGUCACUCUUGUGGCCCUCACUGGAGUUGCUGCAGUAUGUCCACAUCCUCCUUGUACUGGGGAGAUUCUCAGCUUCCAAGUUCUGUAACAGCAACAUGGCUUUUGCCUACAAUUCCUCUAUGUGCUGUCAAAUAAUAAAAUAGCUGUUGCUCAGCAGAGUAAUUUUUGAAAGAAAUUAUUUCACAGGCAAGGCCGUUUUAGUCUUAAAUUUAAGUUUUGCAUGGGAAUGGAAAGGUGUCUGUGUAAUGGCCACACUAGGAUAUGCAGGCUCAUGUAGAUACUUCAUGGUUUUGUUGAAUGCACAUCUGUACACAAAUAGCCAAAGAACUAAUAAUGUGUGCAAGGGAAUGGAGGCCAUUUGGAAACCUGUGUAAUUUUGACGGAGUAUGGAACAGAGGAUAUUUUUUUGCUGUCCAUGUGCUUCAUCAUACUAGCUCAUUUUAGUUAUUCUUGAAUAGACUUUGAUCUUCACAAAUGUACUUAAUAUUCAAAUUAUUUU